AUGACAGUACCUGGUAAAGAAACCCCGGCUAACUCCGUGCCAGCAGCCGCGGUAAUACGGAGGGGGUUAGCGUUGUUCGGAAUUACUGGGCGUAAAGCGCGCGUAGGCGGAUUGGAAAGUUGGGGGUGAAAUCCCAGGGCUCAACCCUGGAACUGCCUCCAAAACUCCUGGUCUUGAGUUCGAGAGAGGUGAGUGGAAUUCCGAGUGUAGAGGUGAAAUUCGUAGAUAUUCGGAGGAACACCAGUGGCGAAGGCGGCUCACUGGCUCGAUACUGACGCUGAGGUGCGAAAGUGUGGGGAGCAAACAGGAUUAGAUACCCUGGUAGUCCACACCGUAAACGAUGAAUGCCAGUCGUCGGGUAGCAUGCUAUUCGGUGACACACCUAACGGAUUAAGCAUUCCGCCUGGGGAGUACGGUCGCAAGAUUAAAACUCAAAGGAAUUGACGGA
rnacentral:rRNA from 1 species